rnacentral:rRNA from 1 species
UCCGGAGGAUGCAAGCGUUAUCCGGAAUGAUUGGGCGUAAAGCGUCCGCAGGUGGCUAUGUAAGUCUGCUGUUAAAGAGUCUAGCUCAACUAGAUAAGAGCAGUGGAAACUACAAGGAUAGAGUACGUUCGGGGCAGAGGGAAUUCCUGGUGUAGCGGUGAAAUGCGUAGAGAUCAGGAAGAACACCAGUGGCGAAGGCGCUCUGCUAGGCCGUAACUGACACUGAGGGACGAAAGCUAGGGGAGCGAAUGGG